rnacentral:antisense_RNA from 1 species
CUUCACCGAACCGAGCAGCAACGGAUGCUCCCGAUCCUGCCCGUACGUUGCCAGCAACGCCUGAGCCUC